ACACUGUUAAUAUAGUUUUUAUUAGUUCCAUCUAUUCCAGACUGCACUUGCAAAUGUAAGAGAAAGCACAAUUAGCUUCCACCAAGUUCUUCCAUUUCAGUUAAAUUUGAAUGAGUAUACAUCUUUGUUUCAAUGUAUAUGCAGUUAUCACCCCACUUUUAUUAUGCAGCCUUUUUCUUGUUGGCCAAAAGUAAUUUAAAACAAAGUAAUAAUAAUAGUAGUAGUAUAGUGUUGAUUAGCAACUUCUUUCUUCUGCUUUAUAAACACUUUAUAACACAUGAAACAUUAAUGCAGAAUUUUAAAGGAUGAAUUUUUAAAUGAAAUUGUGUUAAGGAAAGUUUAAAAAAAAACAACCAUCAAAUAGAGAAUAAUAAAUAUCACUUUAUUGAACAUGCAGUCCACAGACUAGUGUGAUCUGAUGUUAAUCACAUUAUUUUAAAAUAGUUUGAUGCAGCCAUUGAUCAACUGUGCAGUACUAUUUGUAAGAGUAUUCAUGUAAAAGAGAAAGCCUCUGUUUUUAGUUUGAGAAUAAAUUCAAGUAGUGAAAGAUGGUCUCUGUUUAUUGUUAGAUAUUAAUGUAAGCUGCUUAUUUCAUUAACUUGGUUGAAUUUUAAUCUUUCUGCAUCUACAAAGGAAGUGUACAUACAUGAUUUGCUUGCUUAUUGUAUUAAAAUAAAUAAAUGUCCAUUGAUUUUUAC